rnacentral:rRNA from 1 species
UACAGGGGGGGCAAGCGUUGUUCGGAAUUACUGGGCGUAAAGCGUGCGCAGGCGGUUUUGUAAGACUGUCGUGAAAUCCCCGGGCUCAACCUGGGAAUGGCGAUGGUGACUGCAAGGCUAGAGUUUGGCAGAGGGGGGUAGAAUUCCACGUGUAGCAGUGAAAUGCGUAGAGAUGUGGAGGAAUACCGAUGGCGAAGGCAGCCCCCUGGGAUGACACUGACGCUCAUGCACGAAAGCGUGGGGAGCAAACAGG